ensembl:miRNA
GGCAUGGAGUCCGCUGGAAUUCAUGAGACAACCUACAAUUCCAUCAUGAAGUGUGACAUUGACAUCCGUAAGGACUUAUAUGCC